GGGUUGUGAGGUUAAGCGACUAAGCGUACACGGUGGAUGCCCUGGCAGUCAGAGGCGAUGAAGGACGUGCUAAUCUGCGAUAAGCGUCGGUAAGGUGAUAUGAACCGUUAUAACCGGCGAUUUCCGAAUGGGGAAACCCAGUGUGAUUCGUCACACUAUCAUUAACUGAAUCCAUAGGUUAAUGAGGCGAACCGGGGGAACUGAAACAUCUAAGUACCCCGAGGAAAAGAAAUCAACCGAGAUUCCCCCAGUAGCGGCGAGCGGACGGGGAGCAGCCCAGAGCCUGAAUCAGUGUGUGUGUUAGUGGAAGCGUCUGGAAAGGCGUGCGAUACAGGGUGACAGCCCCGUACACAAAAAUGCACAUAUUGUGAGCUUGAUGAGUAGGGCGGGACACGUGGUAUCCUGUCUGAAUAUGGGGGGACCAUCCUCCAAGGCUAAAUACUCCUGACUGACCGAUAGUGAACCAGUACCGUGAGGGAAAGGCGAAAAGAACCCCGGCGAGGGGAGUGAAAAAGAACCUGAAACCGUGUACGUACAAGCAGUGGGAGCACGCUUAGGCGUGUGACUGCGUACCUUUUGUAUAAUGGGUCAGCGACUUAUAUUCUGUAGCAAGGUUAACCGAAUAGGGGAGCCGAAGGGAAACCGAGUCUUAACUGGGCGUUAAGUUGCAGGGUAUAGACCCGAAACCCGGUGAUCUAGCCAUGGGCAGGUUGAAGGUUGGGUAACACUAACUGGAGGACCGAACCGACUAAUGUUGAAAAAUUAGCGGAUGACUUGUGGCUGGGGGUGAAAGGCCAAUCAAACCGGGAGAUAGCUGGUUCUCCCCGAAAGCUAUUUAGGUAGCGCCUCGUGAAUUCAUCUCCGGGGGUAGAGCACUGUUUCGGCAAGGGGGUCAUCCCGACUUACCAACCCGAUGCAAACUGCGAAUACCGGAGAAUGUUAUCACGGGAGACACACGGCGGGUGCUAACGUCCG
rnacentral:rRNA from 1 species